CACGUAGGGACCAAACGUUGUCCGGAUUCAUAGGGCGUAAAGAGCUCGUAGGCGGUUCGAUAAGUCGGGUGUGAAACCUCCAGGCUCAACCUGGAGACGCCACCCGAUACUGUCGUGACUAGAGUCCAGUAGGGGAGCGUGGAAUUCCUGGUGUAGCGGUGAAAUGCGCAGAUAUCAGGAGGAACACCAGCGGCGAAGGCGGCGCUCUGGGCUGGAACUGACGCUGAGGAGCGAAAGCGUGGGGAGCGAACAGG
rnacentral:rRNA from 1 species